rnacentral:lncRNA from 1 species
GGAAGAUGUUGUCAUUGGUGGCUUCUGGCUUCCUGAGUCAGCUGUGGGAAGGAAACUGUGCACCAGAUGGUGGAGGAGCCAAGGGUCAGGGCAAAACCUCUGGCCACACAUCCCCAGGACCAAGAGGGCAGGAGGGGGCUGUGGUCGCCCAGUCCCAUGUCUUCCUUUGAACCACAGAACUGAAGGUGGGAUCUUGGUCUGGACAGAAGGGACACCAUGAUCACGGAAUUCCUGUUCCUGCUUUGCCUCGGGCUUUGUCUGGGCAAUGAAGAUGAGGAAAAUAAUGGGAACCAAGAGGAAAGCAAACCCGCCCCUGCAAAGACAGGUAAUAUAAUUAGAAGGGACUUGUUUCCCCCAAUUAUAUCCACCUCUGAAAACACUGGUGAAUAAAACAGAACAAGG